rnacentral:lncRNA from 1 species
CAUCCUUCCUCUAUAACCAAUAGGAAAAAAAAUAUCUGAAUUUAAACUUGAGCUGGGAGGGAAAUCCCCCAUGUGGGAGGGUGCCGGGGGGGGGGCAGUGUCACAGCCCCACAAGCUUUGAAGAAAUGGGGUUUCCUCAAAAGUUGGAAAAGCUGCUCCUGAAACCCUGGUGGAGACUUUGACGGUGCCUCGAAACGGCCACGGAUUCAAAGCUGAACCCCCCCCGGGUGCUCCACCUCCACCCCCCACCCAUCAGUAUUUAUUUUUUUGUAAAAUUCAUUGUGUCUGAAGCUUUGAGUCCAGUUCAAAUACCGUCCUUUGAAACAAAGGCAUUUUACAUUUACAGAUAAUGUAUUUUUAUUCUCAUAGUUUGUUUUUCAAUUUACUUGCAGCUGUCAAGUUCAAUAAAAUGUGACAUCAAUCUCUGUCGUCUCCGAGGGGAGGAUCGGGGCUGUUUUUACUGUGAUGUUUCUCGUUCUAGGCCUGUGGUGUGUAUAAACUGGAGAGUUUCUGCCUCUGGGUGAGUAAGGAGGGGAAGGGGAGCCAGUGCUAUUUUGGGGCAGGUGGGGGUCUCCCCCCACCCUGGGAAUACUCAACAAACAGCCCUUGGUGUCACCACAACCCUGGGCUGGGUUAUUUCAGGCCAAUAUAAAUCCCACACCUGCAAACUGGAGCUUGGAGGAGCAUUGUCCAGCCCUUGAGGUGAAGUGUUUGGGGUUAAAUCAGUUUAGUGGUGAGACCCCAGGGGCCAUAACCCACCUCCGAGGUGGUGAAGAUCCAGCAACUGGCAGGAGUUCGACUAAACCAAGGAGAAAUAAAGCACAAAUGUAAUAGGAGAGACAAUCCUCGGGGUGAGCCUUAAGGCCCUGUGCUCUCCGGGGAAGGAAAGGUUAAUUGUAAACUUUUGGGCUCAAAGGCAGAACCACCAGCGAGUGGCAGCCACAAAGAGAGCUCGUUAAGGACUGAUGACUCCCUGUGUGUAAUAAUGGGAGUUGGUCACAUCCCACCUCACGCAGUGCAUGUACAUUUAUUUCAGUUCCACUCUGAGAAGCUUCAUGUUUGUUCCUUCGUUUGAGACCCAAUUAUAACCAUUAUAAGGUCAUUUUCCACAGCCUGGGGCAGGAGCUUGGUGGGGAAGGGGCUCACCUGGCAAAGAAGCAGUGGCACAGGGUGGCUCCAGCCCAAUUUAUUGUGUGGGGGAGGAA